rnacentral:rRNA from 1 species
UUCGGAUUGCAGGCUGCAACUCGCCUGCAUGAAGCUGGAAUUGCUAGUAAUCGCGGAUCAGCAAGCCGCGGUGAAUACGUUCCCGGGCCUUGUACACACCGCCCGUCACACCAUGAGAGUCGGGAACACCCGAAGUCCGUAGUCUAACCGCAAGGGGGGCGCGGCCGAAGGUGGGUCCGGUAAUUGGGGUGAAGUCGUAACAAGGUAGC